rnacentral:lncRNA from 1 species
AUUUGUAAUAGUUGCACCAUUUCCUCUUCGAUGCUGUGAUAUCUCAUCAAUUCCACGUCGAAAACUUCGGCCGUCCAUUCUUCCCGAACCACGGAUUGGACCCAACGAGGAAGAUCGAUCCCUUCUUCGCCUAACGAUGCUUGAUUAGGUGCUUUGCCGGUUAAUAACUCUAGCAACAACACUCCAAAGCUAUACACAUCAGACUUGAAAGUAACUUUUCGGGUUUCAAGCACUUCAGGUGCUCGGUAGCCUGCAACACGACUAGGUGGGGUGGAGUUGCCGAACAAAGGAUUGAGAC